CCCUCCCGCUUCAAUCCCAAAUCCCCUUACACAGCGGCGGCGGCAGGACCGAAAAAUCCUUGGCGGCGGCGGAGGCCCAGAUCCUCAGCCAAGCUGGGCGAGCACGCCCAGCAAAUGUGCUGAUGCAUCUCUCCUCCAAUGGAUCCUAACCGGUUCGUCGCCGGCGCUGUAGUUUGAGGCAGAUUAGAUUGGAUUCCUCCCCCAACUCAGGCCCCCUGAUCAGCUCGCGGCCCUGCUCCCGGGUCCUUUCCCCGCAUGCGAUGCAGCACCAGCUCGGCGGUGGUGGAAUCCUCGCCUCCUUCACGACCGACCGCUUCUAGGUGCCGUGAACAGGCCAUCACGGUGGUUUGUUCUUCAGCUAGGUGAUUAAACUGAUCAAGGUGAAUAAGAGUCCAUGGAGGUUGUCAUCUCUCCUGGCAGAUGAAACUCAAUUACCAAAGAAGCACUAAAACAAGAGGCAAAAUGAUAGAUCUUUUCUUUCAUGUACCAUCAAGAUAUUUGUUGGGUGGUCAUAAUCUAAGUUCUUAGUACUAGUUCUUCCCGGACAUGUACUAAAAAUAAUCUAUGUAUGCCUCUUGCGUUUUGUUCUCAUGUACUCAAAUACGAAAAUACUCGAAUGCUUGCUGAGCAGUGAUAAUUUCAGCCCUAAAUUUGCUCA